AUUACUUUAAAGAACUAAAGAGCCCAUUCAUAACCCAUAAUAUAAAUAGAAUUUUCCUUGAGAAUUCAUCACCCCAGUUUUUUCUAAAAAGGUAUGGCAAUUGUAUUCUCAAAAUACCCCUCCCCCCAACCUACUAUUGUAAGGAAUGUUUAUGAGAUAUACUAAAAUGAUUUACUUACUCAUUCACAUGCAUUUAUUUUGUGAACAUGAACAUUUUACAUUAAUGUCAUUGUUCAAUAGAAAAACAAUUGAAUCAUGUUUCAUGCGGUGCUUUUUUAAAAAUAGUUUGAAUCAAAAUGCUGCCACUAAGGCUAGGAUUUAAAAAAAUAAAUAAAUAAAAUAAAAUGACUGUUAAAUGGCGGUUAAUGUCUUGCUUUUUAAAGUUUUUAUUUUUCCCCAUGAUAUUCUUUAGCGCUGCACAAAAGAUAGAAACAACAUAAAUGGCAGUACAAUAAUUGUUUGUUCACUGGAAUAAAAAGCACUAAAUCAGGCACAGAUCCUGAUCUAAUGACCCAAGAUAUGUAUUUUUUAUAUAACUUACUUGCGUUGAUCAAAUUUUCUUUAAGUAUACUUGCAAUGCUUUAAUUACAAUCUACUCCAAAUAAAAAUGGUAUAUUUUACGGAAUGUGAACAGGGUGAACUAAAGCUGCAGAUGGCUUUGACAUUCCCCACUUUCUCUCAUCAGAGAUCUUCUACUUAUAU